UACGAAGGGGGCUAGCGUUGCUCGGAAUUACUGGGCGUAAAGCGCACGUAGGCGGAUUGUUAAGUCAGGGGUGAAAUCCCGAGGCUCAACCUCGGAACUGCCUUUGAUACUGGCAAUCUCGAGUCCGGAAGAGGUGAGUGGAAUUCCUAGUGUAGAGGUGAAAUUCGUAGAUAUUCGCAAGAACACCAGUGGCGAAGGCGGCUCACUGGUCCGGUACUGACGCUGAGGUGCGAAAGCGUGGGGAGCAAACAGG
rnacentral:rRNA from 1 species